rnacentral:piRNA from 1 species
UGACUGGAUCCACCAGUUGGGCA